GACGAACGCUGGCGGCGUGCCUAAUACAUGCAAGUCGAGCGCAGGAAACUGACGGAACUCUUCGGAGGGAAGGCAGUGGAAUGAGCGGCGGACGGGUGAGUAACACGUAAGGAACCUGCCUCAAGGAUUGGGAUAACUCCGAGAAAUCGGAGCUAAUACCGGAUAGUUCAUCGGACCGCAUGGUCCGUUGAUGAAAGGCGCUUCGGCGUCACCUUGAGAUGGCCUUGCGGUGCAUUAGCUAGUUGGUGGGGUAACGGCCCACCAAGGCGACGAUGCAUAGCCGACCUGAGAGGGUGAUCGGCCACACUGGGACUGAGACACGGACCAGACUCCUACGGGAGGCAGCAGUAGGGAAUCUUCCACAAUGGACGAAAGUCUGAUGGAGCAACGCCGCGUGGGUGAUGAAGGUUUUCGGAUCGUAAAACUCUGUUGUAAGGGAAGAACACGUACGAGAGGGAAUGCUCGUACCUUGACGGUACCUUACGAGAAAGCCACGGCUAACUACGUGCCAGCAGCCGCCGUAA
rnacentral:rRNA from 1 species